rnacentral:tRNA from 2 species
UGCGGAGCAGAGCAGAUGGUCGCUCGCUUGUCGACGAGAUGAGAGGACGUAAAAAACGGUUCGAUUCCUACCUCCGCAG